rnacentral:lncRNA from 1 species
CAAGAAAGGAGGCCACGGAGGCAAGUUCACUUGGAUUGGUGGCGACGGUUUCUACUCACACGAGGAGAUGGGGCGCCACGGAGGCGGAGUAGCUGCGGAUCUCAACUCCGAGAAACCACAGCCCGAGGAGGAGGAGGUCCCGAUCCAGACCCCCUGAAGAAGAUCGCCGAUCGCGCUACCGCCAUCACUACUGGAGGCUGAGAUUUAGCUUUGACGAGUUGUAAAUACUGUUGCUAGGG